AUUGUUCCAAAGCAACUCUCCCAGCCCCGUGAACAACUCAGGGACCCCCUCAAUCCGCGGCAUGAGGCCCACCCGCAGAGGGAGAGGAGCUUCCGGUCCUGACUCCCACCAGGCGCAGGAGAGCCGAGCUCCUCUUUGGGUGGAUUAAAACAGACUUGGACAGAGUCUGGAAAAACAAACUCUUUUAAAACAAGACAAAGAUUGAGUCUGGCCAACUGGCUAUUUUCAAUCCUUGCUGAACGGAGUCAAGGCAGUUGGUAGUAACAGUUUGUGGCCAUCCGCUAUUGUCCCCCCACACGAGAGGGUGGGGCCCCCUCAAAGUGACCAGAGCCGGUGACUCCGGGACUCAGCCCUCCCGAAACAGCGCCUGGCCUAGUGAGUCUUCCCAGAACGGCAGAGGGGCAUCUAAGUGUGGACCAUGAGUGCCGGGCACCUGGAGGGAUGGAGGUGGGCCCCCCCAUCCUGUGGACCCUCAUGGAUGGGAAGUAGGAGGAGGACUUGCCGGGCCACACCCUCCCACUCCCUGAUUUCCCCAAAGCUCGCUGGAUACACGUCACUUGCUCUGCAGUCCACAUCAUCCGUAUCUCCUGUCCCACAGCCACGGGCUGCCCAGCAAGGUACCUGCCCAGCCGUCUCCACACCUGAGAGCCCACCUGGUACUGGUCCCGCAUUAUUUGUGGGUGUCAGCCCUGUCUUCACAGGAAUAGCUAGGGUCCUGAAGACAGAGGCAGCCCCAGAAGCCUCCACCAAUCCCAGUGCCAACACAGGAUGUUCAAUAACACCCAACCUAAUUCCAAAGAGAUUGUGAGCAGCAGCUGGGUUCAAAGUAAUCACUGCAUAACCCAGAAACAUUCAUUAAGCACCUACUGUGUGCUGGGCUAUCCACUAGGCAUUAGGAGAUACAAGACAUAGGGCUGCUGCCCUCAUGGGCGUCUCACUCAGGUGAGGGAACAGCCAAAUACUUGCAAUCACAACAGUGCCCUAUGAGUGCUGUGACCCGGGGCACAUCCAGCCCCCACUGAGGCAGGGGCCACCAGGAACAUUGUGCCAAGGAAUUCCGAGACCAGAGGCCUUAGGCCCAGUGGCAGCAUGGCAUGGUCUGGAUGGCAGACUUCAGUGAGCGGCGGAAAGACCGAAGGGACGGCAGAGCAAGAGGGAGGGAGAAUGCUGUCUCCCACAAAUACAGUCCACUUUCUCCGAACCUGAAGACUCGCUUAGAACCUCAUGGUCCAGGAAUCCAUCUGGAGAUGGUGGAAGUCAUGGUUUCCAUGAGAGUCCUUCUGUCUGUUGACUGAGCCACGGGGGGCUAGCUGGACUGCUCCCGCCAUGCAGCAAAGGAGAGGCAGCUGCUGUCCACUGAAAAGCAGGUGCGCUCAGCAUCCUUCCUUCACACCUUUAGGGCCUGGUGGCAGGAGGUGAGACGAGAUGCAGAUUUCAGCCCUGAGUCUGGCUUACUUCAGGAUCCCUCCCAGGGCUCUCUCACCUCAGAGGCAGUGUGGGACCCCAGGCCACACCUUGUUUGCAGGCCUCGCCUAGAUCGUGGUAGCAGCCAGAACUAACAAUUCCUUCAAGUCAGCAUCCCCGUGGCCCAGAGUGGGGACUGAGACCCACACACACCCUCAUCUGCAGGCACGUAGGGACGCAAAAAAUCCAGAGUGAGUACGUAGUGCACAUCAGGCCUUAAGAAGGUGGGUAGAAACGCAAAGCACCUAGCCAGCUGUGCCGCUCUGUGCCCCUGGGAGGAAGCUGGCAUGGUGCUGAUGCAGUUAGCGCCAUUGCACCCUCCUGGUGCUGCAGCUCGUUUGAACAAAGCCCAGAUUAGCAUGUGGUGCAGAGGUCUGCAUAUUUCAACAAACUGCUGCCUUGUCAGAUAUCACCUCGAGGGACGGGCUGAUGGAGUCCUUGGCAAACCCAGGACUGGCCGUGGAGUGGGGACACAGCCUGAACUGCCCCGGGCUGGUGGCACUGGCUUGCCCUGUGCGGCCUCCUCCCGUAGAUGGGGCAGAUAAUAAGGGGGAGGAUGCUCCCCAAGUCCACAGCUCUGCAGAGGGCCCAGACCCCACUCUGCCAGUGUGGUAGGCAUCAGAGCUGGGUGGGGCUCUGUGAAGUUAGGGUCAUGGAAAUGGGAUGUAAACUAUGGGACCUGAAGAGAAGGCCCCACCCCAGGAUGUGCACCCCAGACACCACGACACACCCUGGCUGACAGGUCUGGUCAACAGAGCCCUUGGGACCGGCAGUCUCUGCAGCCCAGCCUGCUGGUCCUGCUGAGCACCCAGGUGCCCACAGUGCUGACACAUGACCAAGGACAGACAUCCACGGUGUGGGCCGCCUGGAGCCCCCCAGGUCCCGGGAGCCCCUCGGCUUAUCGAAACCAACUCCAGCCCGGAAAGCCCUCAUUUGUUGAGGUCUCCUGGAGCCCCCCAGGCCUCUCCAGGUGGAGAAUGAGGCUCAAACGGAGGGGAAUCUUGGCAGCCCGGACGCACCGCCUGCAGGGAAGUUGCCUGCUGGCGCAGACACCCAGCCUGUCCAGAGCCUAACUGAAUGCCACGGGCCCCAGAGAUCCUCAGCCUGGAGCAGGCCUAGAGUCGGGGGCUCUGCCCGAGCAGGGACACAGUCCCCCAGGAAGGCGAGAACACAGCAGGCCAGAGGUGGGGAGGCCUCCAGUGAGGUCCAGCCAUCUCCACUGGAGCAAGGAAAAGAUCUCCUCUGCAGACUGCAGUCAGCAGCGGGCCCGGGGCGUCCUGCUCUGUCACAGGGGGAGGGACCCAUGAGCAGCAGCCAGGGUGCCCCCAUAGGAGGCUGCCCCCACCCCGCCAAGCCCAGACCAGCGGGGAGGCUCUCCUUGGAGGCAAGGCCCCCGCCUCCUGUUCUUCCUGGGUGACAUUUCCUCCAGAGAGUGGCCGGAAAGGUCACCUCCCCUCCACUCGAGCUGGCUUCAUUGCCGUGAUUACACUUUAUGAUUCUUUUAUGAA